GCAGUCUUGGCCGAGUGGUUAAGGCGGUGGACUAGAAAUCCAUUGGGGUCUCCCCGCACAGGUUCGAAUCCUGUCGACUGCG
rnacentral:tRNA from 1 species